GACGAACGCUGGCGGCGUGCUUAACACAUGCAAGUCGAACGGAAAGGCCCUGCUUUUGUGGGGUGCUCGAGUGGCGAACGGGUGAGUAACACGUGAGUAACCUGCCCUUGACUUUGGGAUAACUUCAGGAAACUGGGGCUAAUACCGGAUAGGAGCUCCUGCUGCAUGGUGGGGGUUGGAAAGUUUCGGCGGUUGGGGAUGGACUCGCGGCUUAUGAGCUUGUUGGUGGGGUAGUGGCUUACCAAGGCUUUGACGGGUAGCCGGCCUGGGAGGGUGACCGGCCACAGUGGCAUUGAGAUACGGCCCAGACUCCAACGGGAGGAAGGAGGGGGGAAUAUAGCACAAUGGGCGGAAGCCGGAUGCAGGAACGCCGCGUGCGGGAGGACGGCCGUCGGGUAGUAAACCGCUUUCGCCUGUGACGAAGCGUGAGUGACGGUAAUGGGUAAAGAAGCACCGGCUAACUACGU
rnacentral:rRNA from 1 species